AAGCCCGAUGCCCGAUGCCCGAUGCCCGACGCCCGAUGGCCCAGAGUGCCGUUAUCGCUGCCAUGCCGCCCAUGCCGCCAAGCAGUUGCAAAGCAGUCGUCUAGCGUGAAAGUCGAGCAGCAGCAGCAGCAGUAGCAGCAGCGGCUAGCAGCCAAGCAGUUAGUGAGCGCCAAGCAGUAGUAGAAGCAGCAACCACCCACAGCAGUGGCCACAGCCAUACACCAGCGGCAGCGCCAGCACGCAGCAGCACGUGCCCCGCCAGCGUCAACAAACAACAUCCCAGCCAAGCCAACAUCUUUACGAGUACUCCCCCCGCCGUGUGGAGUGGAGCGGAGCGGAGUCUCCAGCAGAUAAAUUCACACACACACAAGUAAAACGCAACAAAUUCAAAAGGAAAACACAGCCCAAAUUAAGAAACGAAACAGCAAAUUUAUAUAGAAAAAAAAAAACAAA